GGAAGUUUGUUUUUGCUCUACAGGAUUGAACCGUCUCUGUGUCUUGCUUUGAGCGCUGCUGUUGGGUGCUGUGAGUGGACCUCAAGUAAGCUCCGUUUUUGAAACAUGGAUGCAGUGACUUAUGAUGAUGUGCGUGUGAACUUCACUGAGGAAGAGUGGGAUUUGCUGGAUCCUUCCCAGAAAAGUCUCUAUGAAGAGGUGAUGCUGGAGACCUACCAGAACAUCACUGCUAUAGGCUACAAUUGGGAAGACCAUCAUAUUGAAGAACAUUGUCAAAGUUCUAGAAGACAUGAAAGGAAUGAAAGAAGUCGUAUUGGAGAGAAACCCUAUGAAUGUUAUCAAUGUGGUAAAGCCUUUGCACGUCACAAUCAUCUCCAAAUACAUAAAAGAAUACAUACUGGAGAGAAACCUUAUGAAUGUAAUCAAUGUGGUAAAGCCUUUGCAUGUCACAGUCGUCUCCAAAGACAUAAAAGAACACAUACUGGAGAGAAACCUUAUGAAUGUAAUCAAUGUGGCAAAGCUUUUGCACGUCACAGUCAUCUCCAAAGACACGAAAAAACACAUAAUGCAGAGAAAUCAUAUGAAUGUAAUCAAUGUGGUAAAGCCUUUUCACAACAGAAUAAUCUCCAAUAUCAUAAAAGAACGCAUACUGGAGAGAAACCUUAUCAGUGUAAUCAAUGUGGUAAAGCUUUUGCAUUUCACAAUAGUCUCCAGUAUCAUAAAAGAACACAUACUGGAGAGAAACCUUAUGAAUGUAAUCAAUGUGGUAAAGCUUUUGCAUUUCAGUAUAGUCUCCAAAAACAUACAAGAAUACAUACUGGAGAGAAACCUUAUCAAUGUGAUCAAUGUGGUAAAGCGUUUUCACAUGUGAUUCGUCUUCAAUAUCAUAAAAGAACACAUACUGGAGAGAAACCUUAUGAGUGUAAUCAAUGCGGUAAAGCCUUUGCAUUUCACAAUAGUCUCCAAAAACAUAAAAGAACACAUACUGGAGAGAAACCGUAUCAAUGUAAUCAAUGUGGUAAAGCAUUUUCACAACAGAGUAGUCUCCAAUAUCAUAAAAGAACGCAUACUGGAGAGAAACCUUAUGAGUGUAAUCAAUGCGGUAAAGCCUUUGCAUGUCACAAUAGUCUCCAAAAACAUAAAAGAACACAUACUGGAGAGAAACUGUAUCAAUGUAAUCAAUGUGAUAAAGCAUUUGCACAUCACAAUAGUCUCCAAUAUCAUAAAAGAACGCAUACUGGAAAGAAUCCUUAUGAAUGCAAUCAAUGUGGUAAAGCCUUUGCAAGUCACACUCAUCACCAAGUACAUGAAAGAACAUAUUUUAGAAAAAAA
rnacentral:lncRNA from 1 species